GAGCAUAUGAUGAAAGCAAUUGGAAUUUUGUUUCUGAUUGGCUAGUCCAUGAUGCUUCCAAAAAUCGAGCUUUUUAAAUCUGAUGCUCA